AGUCCCUUCUUGUGUGCUUCGACAGUCACUAUUCAUGGGACUCAACAUACAACAGGACACUAUCUUGUGGUCUCCAGAGACGAGUACAACCUGUGCUAUGGGAAACUGGUACACAUCUUUGUGGAAACUGGCCCGGAGGUGAUGCCAAUUUUUCUUUUUCGCAUAACGCCAUCAACCUUCCUACUAGACCUCAUGCUAUACCAUCUUGAAUCUCAGAAUAUCACUGCUCAACCAUGAUUAUGGAGGCGUUUCUGAAGAUCAGGAGUAGAGAUCACAAAACGAAAAACUUGGUGUCAGUAACAUGUCUUGAGGAGCUAAUCAGAGUUGCUGUGGGUCAUCGAAUUUGUCAGGAAGGCGACAUACAGGUGUAUUUAGUGGAUGAGUUAUCACUUCGCUGUAUGGUUGCUGGUGCUGAGAAAUGCCUCGAUGACAUUUUCAUUGUUAAAAAUGGACUAUGGAAACAAGAUCAGUCAACAUGUGUGAGUGCACCUUCACCAAUCCCACAAAUGCCUCUGCUCUCACGAAUUUAUUACCCUUGGGAGAGCCUCAGCAAGACAGUACUUGAUGCAUUGGAAGCAGACAAUGUUCUGCUUCCCUCUCAACGACAGGAAGUGGCACAUAUGGCAGCGUCAUGGCCCUGCAUAUCCAUUGAAGGUGGGAGGCACUCCUGAUAUUUAUUCACAGGCACCUGGUUGGUAUCAUUGAGAACGAAGGGAGCCAGCAGGCAUAAAAAAAUCAAGAGGGCUACAUACAUAAAUGCGUGAGGCAGUGAGGGCAGCAGAUGAACAUAGCAAGAAGUGGGAACAUCUCAUGUGAUACAUAGCGGUCAAAUGUUCCGCCACCAAAGUCAUGCACAAGUUAUUUGUAGUCUUUCCAGUAAUUUCCAAAAUAAAGGGUUAUUAUUGAAAAG